AGAGUUUGAUCCUGGCUCAGAGCGAACGCUGGCGGCAGGCUUAACACAUGCAAGUCGAAGGUGAAGUCGGACUUCGGUCCGGCGGAAACUGGCGCACGGGUGAGUAACGCGUGGGGAUAUGCCCAAAGGUACGGAAUAACCGUUGGAAGCGACGGCUAAUACCGUAUGCUCCCUCAGGGGAAAAGCUUCGGCGCCCUUGGAUUAUCCCGCGUCCGAUUAGCUUGUUGGUGAGGUAACGGCUCACCAAGGCUCCGAUCGGUAGCUGGUCUGAGAGGACGAUCAGCCACACUGGGACUGAGACACGGCCCAGACUCCUACGGGAGGCAGCAGUGGGGAAUAUUGGACAAUGGGGGCAACCCUGAUCCAGCCAUGCCGCGUGAGUGAAGAAGGCCUUAGGGUUGUAAAGCUCUUUCAGCGGGGAAGAUGAUGACGGUACCCGCAGAAGAAGCCCCGGCUAACUCCGUGCCAGCAGCCGCGGUAAUACGGAGGGGGCUAGCGUUGCUCGGAAUUACUGGGCGUAAA
rnacentral:rRNA from 1 species